CGGGACGUGGCGCAGCCUGGUAGCGCGCUCGCUUUGGGGGCGAGAGGCCGCGAGUUCGAAUCUCGCCGUCCCGA
rnacentral:tRNA from 1 species